CAAGAAAAACUGUUAUUCAGUACUUACAAUAAUGUGAAAGAGAUAGAUUUGGAUACAGGAGUAGUGAAAAUACUUGCCAAUCAAACCGGUUACGUUCUGUCUAUAGCUUAUGAUACAAAAGAAAGAUAUGUGUAUGUUCCAAGAAUUAGUUACGAUGAUAUAGUAAGAUUCCCUUAUCCAAACGCACAUUCUGUAAAGUUUGAAACUGCUGUCCAGGCAAAUAAUCCAGUCGGUGUAGCAUUUGACUCAAUAAACAGUCAUUUAUACUGGACACAAAUCAGCACAGGAAAGAUAAUGAGAUGUAACUCAGAUGGAUCUAAUGUAACAACUAUUAUAAAUGAAACAGAACCUAUUGGAAUUGCACUCGGCAUACAGAAUAGAUGGAUUUAUUAUGGUCAAGAAAACAGUAAUAGAUUACACAGAGUGACAUUCGAUGGAAAGGAAAAACGGGUCGUAAGAAACCAGACAUCGCGUGUGAUAGGUAUACAUUCAGAUUUUGUUGACAAGCGAGUUUAUUGGAUGGAAUAUGACACGGGUGAUUUGAAAUCUGCAUGGUAUAAUGGAAACGAUGUUAAAACGGUGAUAAGCACAAAUGUGCGAAAUAAGAACCGGAACAUUGAUAUCGAUGGUGAUUACAUAUUCUACUCAAGCUAUGAUCAAAUACUAAAAAUACAGAAAUCGUCAGGACAAAGCCCAACUGUUGUGCACACAGAUAUCGGGCAGAUUUAUGGUGUUGUGUUUUAUAGACAAGAAGGUAAGAACAUGUAAAUAAAUAAAAGAUAUUUUUAAACAUAUCAUUAGAUAACAUAAGUUAACAAAAAAUAAAAUGAAUUGUUUACGAUAAUUUAUAAUUCAACUCAUGUAAUUUUGUAAUCCAAUUUAUGCAUGUUAAAAGACAAAAAUAGAGAAAAAUACAAUCGACAAAUUGGUAGACGUAUAUAAGACUGUUUUUAUACUUUAUUCUGUCAUUGUUGUUUCUUUAUUUAAUAUUGGAAUUGUUACUGCUGUUAUAAUAUGCAAUCAUGAAACUAAUGAUAGGUCCAAGUUGUUGUUUAGUAUUGUUAAAAGAAUGCAAAGAAUACAUUUGUUAUAUACGUGUUAACAUAAAUGACCUUGUUUCAUAGUAUUACUGUAUAACGGUCUAAAACCAUUCUAACUGAAUGUAUAAAGAGAUCAAUGUAUCGUUUAAAUGUUACUUGCUACUUCUGUUUGUUCUACUAGUAGAAAUAAACUAACGCUUUCAAG